rnacentral:rRNA from 1 species
CCUACGGGGCGCAGCAGUGGGGGAUAUUGGACAAUGGGGGAAACCCUGAUCCAGCGAUGCCGCGUGAGGGAAGAAGGUUUUCGGAUUGUAAACCUCUGUGGACAGGGACGAUAAUGACGGUACCUGUCAAGAAAGCCACGGCUAACUACGUGCCAGCAGCCGCGGUAAUACGUAGGUGGCGAGCGUUGUCCGGAAUUACUGGGUGUAAAGGGAGUGUAGGCGGGAAGGCAAGUCAGAAGUGAAAAUUAUGGGCUCAACCCAUAACCUGCUUUUGAAACUGUUUUUCUUGAGUGAAGCAGAGGCAA